rnacentral:lncRNA from 1 species
UUUUAACCUUUUUUGAACAUGUAUCAUUCUAAAAUUUCUUAAUCAUGAAAGUCUGAUAAAAUCUGAUUUUUGAACUAGUCUGUGUCUGUUAUGGCAUUUGUCUGAGUUGGUAUCAUCAUACCAAGACUUGCAAGUCCUAUUUCUAAGCCAUAAUGCAUUAAGCAUGAUCUUUCAUAAAAGUGUAGUUUCAGACCACCCAAAUAUGUAAUUUGCAUAAAAGAUUUCAUGUUCC